rnacentral:lncRNA from 1 species
AAGGAAAUAAAAAAUGUGAAUCCUAAUAUGUUCAAUAUGGAAACAGGAGGCAAGGGAUUAUGUGAAAUGCAAGCUAUAUUUAUAGAUGAACCGAUAAUGCUUAGUAACUGAAUGCCACCACGUCCUAUGAACGUCGGGCCCUGCCGAGUUCGACGCUCAAACAUCAAUCAUAGAAAAAAUAAUAUAUGUUGUUUGAUUAAUAACAAAUUGACAUCCCCG